AAAGAAACCAACCGGGAUUGCCUCAGUAACGGCGAGUGAAGCGGCAAGAGCUCAAAUUUGAAAGCUGGCCCCCAGCGGGGUCCGCAUUGUAAUUUGCAGAGGAUGCUUCGGGCACGGCCCCCGUCUAAGUGCCCUGGAACGGGCUGUCGGAGAGGGUGAGAAUCCCGUCUGGGACGGGGUGUCCGGGUCCGUGUGAAGCUCCUUCGACGAGUCGAGUUGUUUGGGAAUGCAGCUCUAAAUGGGUGGUAAAUUUCAUCUAAAGCUAAAUACUGGCCGGAGACCGAUAGCGCACAAGUAGAGUGAUCGAAAGAUGAAAAGCACUUUGAAAAGAGAGUUAAACAGCACGUGAAAUUGUUGAAAGGGAAGCGCUUGCGAUCAGACUCGCCCGCAGGGUUCAGCCGGCACUCGUGCCGGUGUACUUCCCUGCGGGCGGGCCAGCGUCAGUUCGGGUGGCCGGUCAAAGGCCCCGGGAAUGUGUCGCCCUCCGGGGCGUCUUAUAGCCCGGGGUGCCAUGCGGCCCGCCUGGACUGAGGAACGCGCUUCGGCACGGACGCUGGCGUAAUGGUCGUAAGCGACCCGUCUUGAAACACGGACCAAGGAGUCUAACAUCUACGCGAGUGUUUGGGUGGCAAACCCAUGCGCGCAGUGAAAGCGAACGGAGGUGGGAACCCCGUCCGGGGCGCACCAUCGACCGAUCCUGAUGUCUUCGGAUGGAUUUGAGUACGAGCGUAGCUGUGGGGACCCGAAAGAUGGUGAACUAUGCCUGAAUAGGGCGAAGCCAGAGGAAACUCUGGUGGAGGCUCGCAGCGGUUCUGACGUGCAAAUCGAUCGUCAAAUUUGGGUAUAGGGGCGAAAGACUAAUCGAACCAUCUGGUAGCUGGUUCCUGCC
rnacentral:rRNA from 1 species